GUCAUUAAAAAGCCAUAGGCCAUUUGGACAGGUGACUUUCUGUCUUUGCUAGUGGCAGUAGUAGUUUAUGGCCAUGGAAACCAUGAUGUGCUGGCAUUUGAUUAUCAGUUCAGAUUUGCACCUUUGCAGGAUUCUAACAGGCAAAGACUUGGAAAGAGAUUUAGAAUCCCCCCCCACCACCACCACUGCAUACCCUAUUAAUGAAUCCCACGUGUAGGAAAAGGCCACUCUAAAUAGUUGGGUUGGAAGAAGCUCAAUUAUGAGAAUGAGGGCUUCUCUGGAAGUCACAGGCCGAUACAGAGAUGUGACAGACCUUGAGGACCACAGAGGGACAGCUGCGCACCUCACUUUUCCCAUUUGUCUUUCAAAAAAAAUCUAUUUCUUCCUGUUUGGCCAAAGGAUAAGGAUGUUGAUGGGGUCUAGGACAUGCAACCUCAAAAUACAUCACCUUGGCCUAUUGGAUAUUUUAAGCAGAAGGAAUUUGAGAAGCAAUGGGUUCAGGAAAGGCUCUCUGACCUCCCCCUUCUUCCCUGAAGCAGACUGUAGGCCCCCAGGUGGGAGGUGUCCUCCCUGUACUUGGAGAAACGGUGCACCCUCUCCUCUGAAGGGGGAGGGAGUCCGAACAAACAGGUCUUGCUACAUUUCCCCAGGUUACUACCGCGAGCUCUUACCCUUUUGUCCUCUGACAUAUUUUCCAGGACUUUCUACUCUUCCUCAAACAUAAUACAAAAACACUCAGCCUUAAACUUUUUUUCAGGUCUUCGUUUCCUCAUGAAGGCUCCCAUGUCACAUAGAACUCAUAUUAAUUAAACAAAUGUGUAUGCUUUUCUCCCGUUAAUCUGUCUUUGUUAGUUUAAUUUUCAGGCCCAGCCAGGGACCAAAGAGGGGCAUGGAAAAGUUUUUCCUCCUCUAAAAUACUAAAAAGGAAUUCUAAUUGUCCUUUCUGAAAAAUUCUUUAAUGCGAGGCCGUUUUGGACUGAUGAAAUACCAUGUGACCCCUUUAAUCCUCACCACAGCCCUACUAGGCUGCCUCGUUGUCUCCUCUUCCUGAAUGAGAAAGCAGGAACGUGGAAAUGCUGAGUAGCUUGCCCAGGUCUCACAACAAGGUUUCGCCCCCACAUCUGUUGGAAGACAAGACUCCCAGUAAAUGACUGACUAUGAUGCAGAAAUAAAUAGCCCGUGGAAAUGUAGGGGAGAUGCUUUUCAAUUUCUCCUGAGACAACUUCUUCCUUACUCUUACAUGUAUUCCUUCUAUCCCCAUCUGUCCCCCCCUACUUGAUUUCUAUAAGGGAGUGUUUUUCCAGGCAAAGAACACUUUCUUCUGACCCAGGAAAGAGGAAAGGAGUGGAAAGGCAGCUCAUGUUUUCCUUUGGGUUGGCAGAUAUUUUCCGACGACCUUGAUCAGUACUUUCAACAAAUGACGUCACAGUAGCUGGCACUCGGGGGAUGCUCAACCCACAACCCAGUGAGCCACACCAGUUAGGGCUGUCCUCAUUUUCUAUGCUGGGAAACUGAGUUCUAUUACAUGGGAAUCAAGGUCUCCCAACUGGAAAUCCAGUGUGAUUGCGCCAGGCCAGCGCUCACCCGGUGUGAAAGACUGGGAUGGAAACAGUGUACCAAGAAUGGAGUGGACGUGCCCAGGCAGAGACCAACGAUAAGAAAAUGGACUAAAACUCAGUCUGCUUUUUAUCAUCCCCAUGCACCAGGAAUUCUAAACAACCUUGGUGAUGGAAUACCUUCCUGAGAAAAACAAAACCCAGCUUUGGUUAGUCUAAGUUCUAAAUAAUUUCUGCAAUUACUUUUGAGUUAUAAUAAUCUAUAUGUACACUUUAAGUUAGCACAUUUUAUUACUUAUCCUUUAACAAACAUGGUAUCUAUUUGGAAGUUAACUCGAGGAACUCUAAGCUGUGCAGUUGGCAACUGAUGUAGACAGAGCUAUCCAUGUUUUGUCUGUGAGUUAAUUUGUAGUAGUCCAGUCAUUCAGACUUGCUUUAGGGGUAGUUGGGAUCCCAACCCCCGUGAUACAGAUAUGUUCCUGUGUAAGGAUCAACCAUGGGCAGCAAUAAAUAGACAAAUCUAGCUACCGUAGUCCCCCUUUAUCCAUGGGGUUACUUUCCACACUUUCACAUUCUCUGGUUUUAGUUACCCAUGGUCAACUGUGGUCCAAAAAAUUAAAUGGAAAAUUACAGAAACAAACAAUUCAUAGCUUUUAAAUUGCAUGCCAUUCUGAAUAACAUGAUAAAGUCUUGUACCCUCCCACUCUGUCCCACUCUAGACGUGACUCAUCCCUGCGUCCAGUCUCUCCAGGCUGUAGCAUCUCCCUGCCCACUAGUCACUUAGCAGCCUCCUCCAUCAUCAGAUCAACUGUCAUGGCAUUGCAGUGCUGAUGUUUGCCUGACCCUUAUUUUACUUAAUAACACAACAUUUCCAUAACUUUUAUUACAGUUUAUUGUUAUAAUUGUUCUAUUUUAUCAUUAGUUGUUCACUCUUACUGUGCUUAACUAAUAAGUUAAACUUUAUCACAGGUAUGUAUGUAUAGGGGAAAAAUAUAUAGUCUUUGUAGGGUGCAGAUCAAUUCUCAGUCUCUGGCAAUAUCUGGAGGUCUUGGAACAUAUACCCAAUGGAUAAGAGGGGGCUACUGUAUAUAUUUUUAUUUUAAUUAUCUAU